CCAAUAGCGUAUAUUAAAGUUGUUGCAGUUAAAAAGCUCGUAGUUGAAUUUCGGGAUCAAUUUGUCGGUCGUGCCUCGGUACGCACUGGCUUAUUGGUUUCUCCUUUCUGAAGAACCAUGAUGUCAUUUAUUUGGUGUCGUGGGGAAUCAGGACUGUUACUUUGAAAAAAUUAGAGUGUUUAAAGCAGGCUCACGCUUGAAUACAUUAGCAUGGAAUAAUGAAAUAGGACGUUUGAUUCUAUUUUGUUGGUUUCUAGGAUCGACGUAAUGAUUAAUAGGGAUAGUUGGGGGCAUUAGUAUUCAAUUGUCAGAGGUGAAAUUCUUGGAUUUAUUGAAGACUAACUACUGCGAAAGCAUUUGCCAAGGAUGUUUUCAUUAAUCAAGAACGAAAGUUAGGGGAUCGAAGACGAUCAGAUACCGUCGUAGUCUUAACCAUAAACUAUGCCGACCAGGGAUCGGAUGAUGUUAAUUUUUUAAUGACUCAUUCGGCGCCUUACG
rnacentral:rRNA from 1 species